rnacentral:rRNA from 1 species
UGGGGAAUUUGGACAAUGGGCGAAAGCCUGAUCCAGCAAUGCCGCGUGUGUGAAGAAGGCCUUCGGGUUGUAAAGCACUUUUGUCCGGAAAGAAAUCCUUGGCUCUAAUACAGUCGGGGGAUGACGGUACCAGAAGAAUAAGCACCGGCUAACUACGUGCCAGCAGCCGCGGUAAUACGUAGGGUGCAAGCGUUAAUCGGAAUUACUGGGCGUAAAGCGUGCGCAGGCGGUUUGCUAAGACCGAUGUGAAAUCCCCGGGCUCAACCUGGGAACUGCAUUGGUGACUGGCAGGCUAGAGUAUGGCAGAGGGGGGUAGAAUUCCACGUGUAGCAGUGAAAUGCGUAGAGAUGUGGAGGAAUACCGAUGGCGAAGGCAGCCCCCUGGGCCAAUACUGACGCUCAUGCACGAAAGCGUGGGGAGCAAACAGGAUUAGAUACCCUGGUAGUCCACGCCCUAAACGAUGUCAACUAGUUGUUGGGGGAUUCAUUUCCUUAGUAACGUAGCUAACGCGUGAAG